ACGAGAUUAUAAGUGUUGCGAAAAUAAAUAUUUACAGUAAAUAAAGCGUUCCAUAAUGAAUUCCAUUUCUUUUAUCGAAGCUUCCUCUGGGUCGUGAAGCUCUCUGAAGCUCUCUGUGCACGAUCGAAGCUUCCUCUGGGUCGUGAAGCUCUCUGUGCACGAUCGAAUCUUCCUCUGGGUCGUGAAGCUCUCUCUGCGCGAAAAUGGAUUCUCCGAUCCCGAUCGAAGCUUCCUCUGGCCCGUGAAGCUCUCUUUGCGCGAUCGAAUCUUCCUCUCUUUGCUGCAAUCGCACCAAUCCUGCUUCAAUCGAGUGACUCUCGUCUCAUUCUGCCUCGGGAGCUUCCGCAAAAUGAUGAUGGAAUGAUGGUGGAAGAAGAUCAUGCUACACUUUGAUGGUGGAUUUUGUUGGUUUGAAUGCUGUUUUAAUUUGGCCAAAACUACUGUCGAUAGAACAAUUUGGAUCUUGUAGUUUGGAUCUUUAGUUUAUUAAUUUGGAUUAUAAUGUAUUAAUGUUGAUGGAUCAUUAGAACAAAGAAGAUAAUGAUAGACAGUACUUUUUUUGUA